UACGAGGGGGGCAAGCGUUGUUCGGAAUUAUUGGGCGUAAAGGGCGCGUAGGCGGUGCGGUAAGUCACCUGUGAAACCUCUAGGCUCAACCUAGAGCCUGCAGGCGAAACUGCCGUGCUUGAGGGUGGGAGAGGUGCGUGGAAUUCCUGGUGUAGCGGUGGAAUGCGCAGAUAUCAGGAAGAACACCCGUGGCGAAGGCGGCUCUCUGGAACGCAACUGACGCUGAGACGCGAAAGCGUGGGGAGCGAACAGG
rnacentral:rRNA from 1 species